GACGAACGCUGGCGGCGUGCUUAACACAUGCAAGUCGAACGGAAAGGCCCUGCUUUUGUGGGGUGCUCGAGUGGCGAACGGGAGAGUAACACGUGAGUAACCUGCCCUUGACUUUGGGAUAACUUCAGGAAACUGGGGCUAAUACCGGAUAGGAGCUCCUGCUGCAUGGUGGGGGUUGGAAAGUUUCGGCGGUUGGGGAUGGACUCGCGGCUUAUCAGCUUGUUGGUGGGGUAGUGGCUUACCAAGGCUUUGACGGGUAGCCGGCCUGAGAGGGUGACCGGCCACAUUGGGACUGAGAUACGGCCCAGACUCCUACGGGAGGCAGCAGUGGGGAAUAUUGCACAAUGGGCGGAAGCCUGAUGCAGCAACGCCGCGUGCGGGAUGACGGCCUUCAGGUUGUAAACCGCUUUCGCCUGUGACGAAGCGUGAGUGACGGUAAUGGGUAAAGAAGCACCGGCUAACUACGUG
rnacentral:rRNA from 1 species